GAGGUCCAUUGGGCUCAAAUUAAUCUAAGCCCAUUUUCCUUUUAAGCCUAGUUUUUUCUUAUAAAUUACUAACAAAAACCCUAAUUUAAAGAGACUAAAAAAUUUUCCCCAUCCUCAUACAAACUACACGGUCACUCCACAGCCUGUAGUGUUUUUACCUCUCAAAAACCAGUAACUAUUCACCAAUUAUCAUCAUCAUAAAAUAUUUUCAUAUAGCAUUAGCCUACACCGUCAACACCGAUCUUCACCUCUUUACAACACAAAAUCACAAUGAGCACAGCAGUUCGGGAGAACAAACAGAAGCAUCAUCGUCAUCAUCAACACAACAACGAUAAACAGAACCCAUUUUUUUAUUUCAAUAACAACAAUUGCUCUUUUCUGUUGUGUUUAUGGCAGGUAACAGAAAAUUUGGGACAGGUGCAAGGAAUAAAUCAAAAUGGAAAACACCAGUGUUACAGAUCCAAUAUCGAUCCGCCGCCACCACGCGUGACAUCUCCGAUCUGCUCCGCUUCGCACCACCGCUUCACGGCCGCCGCGGAUCCACUAUGAAAUCAACAACGGUCAUCGUCUUCUCGAUCACACAACCGCUCAGCCAUCCUCCGACAGAACGCCGCAUCCACCGAUCUCAGAUCCACUGCAACCGCCGGUCAAACACCACCGCACCAGAUACGGAACCAUGCCCAAUCGUGAUUCCACCGACGAGAAAAACAAAUCCAUAUAGAGCACUGCCGUACGCGCAACCAUCAUGGUUUUUUUCUUCCGCUCCCGGUACCACUCGAUAUUGAGACUCUCGCAUUUCAUGGACAUGGACAUUUAUACUUUGCACUUUUAAUUAAUUCGGGGUUAGCCAAUCGUCAAAGCUUAAUAGUCGGGUAAUUGUCAAAUGACUUCCAACUACGCGCCCGGUCAAGACUCAAAGCUAAGUACCCUAUUUUAUUUUGUUUUCAUUUUGAUUUUAGGGUUUGCCCUUAUAUUUCUUGAACUGUGCAUACGUUCACUCUUUUGUUUCUGCCUUUGCCCUUUUCAGGUUUAUUUCCGAGGUUUCCUCCGACUGCCAACCCUAUCAGAUCAAAUGCAAAGCUAAGUUGCUUCUUAUUUAUUUAUUUAAAUUCUUUAUCUUUUUGUUUUUUUGGGUUAACUGUGUUUGACUCUGAACCGAUAAUGCACUCACCCCCUUUUGUUUAUUUCUUUCUUUUCUAAUUUUCAGGGUUUGUCGACUGUCAAAGCUACGAGUAUUGGUAACCCUAAACCCUAACCCUGAUAUUUUUAUCUUUUAUUAUUACUUAUGCCAAACCCUAUUAAGGGAUCCGCUGGUUUCAUUUUCCCCUCCCCCAUAUUACUGUUUCUUGCCUUAUAUUAUCUGCGUCUUAUAUUAUCUGCGUGGUUAGUAAAAUAGGGAGUGACAACCAUUAAAUUGAAUUAGCCUCACUAAUUUACAAGAUAAUAUAAUUGAAUAUAGUCACGUGAUUGGCGCACACACGCACGCUUUUGGGUAACCCUCUCUGUUGCCUUGUUGCCUGUUGCCUUGUUGCCUUGUGUUUUUGCAAAAUAGCCAGUCCCUCGAAUAUGAGGAUACCUUAGCCAUGUUGCCUCGAUAAAAGGUCAUGAGACCCUAAAAAUGAUGCUGCCUUCGAUACACUAACAUGACCUCGACCCUCGAAAGUUGCCCACGAAUAAGGCUGAGGUAUCUUCUGGUUGCCUACGAAAGGCUAUUCUGAUCCUUCCCCUUAGACUACCUGCCUCUCUAUGGCAUGGGUCAGUCUUUGAGCGAAUGAUAAUUCGAUGACCCUUCUACCUCCAAACGAAAGGCUUCCUGCCCUCUUAUGGCAAGGACUGACCCUUUCAUUCUGAAAGGCUAAAAAGAGACCUAUCAUCUGAGUUUAAGAUAAUUGCCCUUAAUUGCCUUGCCAUGCUCUAUUUUCUAUAUUCUUUCUCAAAAUUCUUCAAAAAACUGGCUACGCUCAUUUUACGAGCUAAAGUCCAUUUUUUCCUCUUUCAUCUACAUUUUCUGAAAACGAGCAAGCAAAGCAAUUAAGAGCCCAUGGAAAACCAUGGAUGCAAAGGGUGCCUUACACCUUCCCUUUGCAUAAAUUACCCCCCGAACUUAGAUUUCUUUAAAAGGUUUUUUUCUGUUUCUUUAAGCCUUUCUGAAUUUGUUUGGAUAAAAUAAAAGUCGGUGGCGACUCUUGCUUAACCGCGACAUUCCGAUCGAUAAAAAAGUCAGUUCACCGUAUUACAGAACUGGCGACUCUGCUGGGGAUUAAAAUUUCGAUAAAAUAGGGGUUACCUUAAAAGUUUAGGAUUCACCUUAAAUGUUUUCUAUUGUUUGCUUUGUUUGCUUUAAUUUUGCAGGGCUGUUUUGGGUAUUUUGCUGUGUGAAAGAUCCUAACCCGGAUCUGAGUACCUUAAGUAUAUGGCAUGAGAUCAAGGAGACUGCACAGCGUAUACUGAUGUGGUUGAUCUGAUGGCCAUCGUUAGUGUGACACAUUGGUUUGUCCUGGUGUUCCUUGGGACCCGACCUGAGGAAAUGCUUGGCUGCCGCGUGGUGUCAUUAAGCACUAAUUUGCCCUUAGAACCUUAGUCGGACUUGACUUUAGCCUAUUAGAAAGUAGCGAGAUGGCUGGCUUUGGUUCCGACUGAAGUUGGUUGAUACUCGAAGCUACACUCAUAUGGACUGGACUUUCAGGACCUUUUCGGUUGGCGAUUCGAUUGCCGAACUGAGAUAAGCGCCUUUGAGAAAGGUCAAUGAUAUGAGCUCCUUAGAACCCGAUCUUUAUAUAGGACAGGUUGAACCAACUAAACUUCAGUGGGGAGGGUACUUACCUACGAACUUCAUGCAAGCCUCUAAACCUAAGGGCACUUGUGUGACUUGUUUGCGUUUUCUACUAACCUUUGUUUUCUUACAGGUUUUGUUAAAAGACUUGUUUACCCUCACUAUUCCAUCAUGUGCCUAAUGAGGUGAAUUCUUAUAACAUACUAACCUUUGUUUCCUUGCAGGUUUUGUUGAAGGACCUUUUUGCCCUUACUAUCUCACACUAAGUCUAAUGGAUUGCAUCCGCAUAACAUUCAUGACAUCAUGACAUCAUAAGCAUAACAUGAUUUAACUAACCCUUUCAAGGAUCUUAGGAAUUUAGGGCGCGCAAUUUCAGGUGCUCUUAUCAAAGACAAAAUUCCUAUCAAGGGGCAAGAGAAUUUACUUUCCUCUGGCCACAUACCUUCCAAUUUAGAGACUCAGUACCUAUCAAGGGGCAAGAGGAUUUAUUUUCCUCUAGCCGUGUACUUUCAAAUUCAGAAGUAUCCCGAAUCAAGAGGCGAUGACCCACUCGAUAUGGUGAGCUUGAUUCUCAAAGGAAGACGUUCAAAGACAAAAUUCAGAAUCCUUCAGACAAAGAUGCAACCAAAGUCGACCAACUGGUCAGAAAAAUAUCAUCAACAAAUCAAUCCUAAUCAGAUGAACAUUCUGGAAGCUUGACCCCCAGACUUCUGAAAGUUCCAAUUAGAUGAACAUUCUGGAAGCUUGACCCCCAGACUUCUGAAACAAUCCUAAUCAGAUGAACAUUCUGGAAGCUUGACCCCCAGACUUCUGAAAGUUCCAAUCAGAUGAACAUUCUGGAAGCUUGACCCCCAGACUUCUGAAACAAUCCUAAUUAGAUGAACAUUCUGGAAGCGUGACCCCCAGACUUCUGAAAGUUCCAAUCAGAUGAACAUUCUGGAAGCUUGACCCCCAGACUUCUGAAAUAAUCCCAAUCAGAUGAACAUUCUGGAAGCUUGACCCCCAGACUUCUGAAACAAUCCUAAUCAGAUGAACAUUCUGGAAGCUUGACCCCCAGACUUCUGAAAGUUCAAAUCAGAUGAACAUUCUGGAAGCUUGACCCCCAGACUUCUGAAACAUUCCAAUCAGAUAUACAUUCCGGAAGCUCGAACCCUGGACAUUCUGAAAGUUCCAAUCAGAUGAACAUUCUGGAAGCUUGACCCCCAGACUUCUGAAACAUUCCAAUCAGAUAUACAUUCUGGAAGCUCGAACCCCGGACAUUCUGAAACAUCCUUAUCAGAUACACACUCCGGAAGCUCGAACCACGGAUACUCUGAAUCUCUACACCAGUUCCACAACAACGACGCAAGCCAGAUGCACCUAAGAGUCAAUUCACCAAAAUUAAUAUGUCAUCGGCUCAAACAUUACAACAUCUGUUGAAGAUCAGAUUGAUUACUCUGAGGGAUGCUCCUGAGAAUUCUAACACCUCUGGCUAUAAACUCAAUGCGAGGUGCGCGUACCAUCCCAACAUUCCUGGACAUUACACAAACAAUUGCUGGACAUUGAAGAAUAAGAUUCAAGAUCUGAUCAAUGACAGAGAAAUCAAAUUCAACCCUCUUGAAACUCCUGUGGUGAUCACCGCUCAUAUGCCUAAUCACAACAAGACUAAUUGACGUCUAGACGGACGGACUUUUGGAUCAUUAGAUCUACUUUCAUUUGCAAUUUUCUUUUCUGUUUGUUUAAACAUUUGACUCAUGAUAGACAUUAUCUGUUUUAAUAAUCAUCAUCAGUGCAUUGCAUAUGUUUGUCUUGAAUAAAUUAUUUCGCUAUCACUCAUUUAAACUGCAUCUUUACUUUGCAUAUGUUUUGUGAUACUCGACUCCUGCUAAAGCUGUAUGCCUUUUAAGGGAGGAUGACGAAAACGAUACCGCAACCUCAUACAAUAUGCUUUUAAACAGACUAUGUUGACGAUGUACAGGCAUUGUUUCGAUUCCUAAAUAGUGGAGAUAUAAGGAUGUUAAUCCCUCGUCAACCCCUUUGAGCCUAAGAAGUAGAAGUUUCUUUCUUGUGCUAAUUAAAACCCUUGAUCAUAACCCGGGGCAAGGUAGUUCUCAGUUAAUUUGGUUGUGCAUUCUAUUUUAAGAGAAUCAUUCAGUACACCUUUCAACAAAGGUUUCAAUCACAAGCGUUCAUCCGCACACAUCAAAGAAGUGUUGGAGAUGUCAAUCAAAAGAUAAUGACGGUUCAUCAAUCAUCAAACAAGGCAGUCAAUAUCUUUCAAAAAAGAAAAAUGGAAAAAACAUAUAUACAAAGAAAAGCCUGCUAAGUCAAAAAUCAAAAAGAAGACUUAGGCAAAAAUCAAGGCGUCCCGCUGACUGUAAGCUCAAAAGAGAUAGUUCAGGCAAAAGUUAGGGAUAUCAAAAAGAUGAAAGAAGAGAAGUCAAUAAAUUCCUGAACAACACAAUGUUGUGACUACCAAAAGGAAGAAGUGACUUCCAUCUCAAAAAGUUCUCUUUGUUUGUGAACCAUCAACAUUAUCAAAGGCGCAAAUCCCAAAGUCUCUUGGAACCCGAAUGCAUAAGUUGAAUUAACUGAGUUUAGGACUGAAGAACAUCACGAAGAAGGGGAUGGGUAUAAAUAAAUUUUGAGCCAUUAUCCUUUGUUUCUUAAACCGUGAACCAAGCCACGUUACAACCCUUGAAAGUCCUAACUGAAGCAUGGUUAGUUCGAAAGCAUACUGUCAUAAAAAAGGUAUCCCGACUCCUUAAGGUUUAUCACAAAUGCUAAGUUGAUACAAACCUCAUGUUUUUACAAAUAUCAUGUUUUUACAAACAUCACGCUUUUACAUCUCAUGCUAAUGGUUUUCAAAAACUCAAGACAAACGUAUGCAUUGCAUCUCAUGAAUUCAUUAUUAAACAUAUUCUGCUACAUAAUUUCAAAUGUUAGCAUCAGAAAGAACUUGCGCAGGGUACAACUAAUGACUGAAAGUUAUCCCGACAGACAAUAUUACUCCAAGAAGCAAUGUCUCUUACGUAUACAAGGGGCAUGACAUGGUUUGCCCAAUCAAUAUGGGGCAAUCAAGUCAAGAAACGAAGAAUCUCUUGAAUGCCAAAAAGUCAAAGGCAUAUAUCCCAAGCGGAUUUCAAACUAUUCCCCCGGUCAAUCUGGGGCAAUCAAGACAAGAUUUCAAGAAUAUCUCAAGGAUGCCAAAACAAUCAGGGGCAUGCAGCCAAGUAGAUAUGGAGCUACUUCUCAACCAACAUAGGACAUUGUCUUGGGCCUAUGAUUACGAGGGGCAUGACACCCAUAGUGCACAUCUCAUCAAGUCCUCACGAGGCAAAUCUUUCCAAAAGUCCCUGCUAGCAGGGGCAAAUCUAUGCAAGUUCAGUUUGACAUCUUGAUCAAUACUCAGUGGUGUGUCCUAAUCAAUAUAAAUCAUUGGGGGCAAUAAUCAAAGCAUUCAUGCCUUUCCACAAAGCCGGCUACACAGGAUCAUAUCCCCCACAGAGUAAUCAUUAAGAAGAUACCUUCAAAUGUUCUUGCCCAACAAAAGACAUAGCUCCUCAACAGAGUUCACAUCUUCGACACCGUCAGUUCCCCGACCUUCUUCUCUUCUCCAAACAUGGUUCAUUAAUAUCUCUAAUCCCCAAUCAGGGUACAUCAAAUUACUACUCAUCCCCAAGCAGAAAUCAUAAAUCCCCAGCUGAGCAUCUCCAAGAAAAGAUCAAAACAUCAAACUCACAAUGACAUAGAGAUUUAUCUUCUCAAUCAAGAUGCUUCGAGUAACAUAAAUCAAAGCCAUACAUCAUAUACAUCACAUGCAUUGCAUGUGGUUAUAAUUCAUACAUAACAUACAAAGCGUCCCAUUUAUUUUUGAGAACUCCAUCUCAUUCAUUACAUACAUCAUACACAGUGCAUAAAACUGACAUUGUUACCAAGUGAAUAUUAUCUGACAGGUACAUUACAAAGGUUCGAAUCUUAUUCAAAGCAAAGCCUAACGCACGGCCCUCCAGACAUCUACGGAUGCAAAUCGGAUUAGUCUAACGCACGACUCAUUCCUCGACCUAGCGCACGGUUUUCCAGACAUCUGAGGAUGCAAUUAAGAUUAGUCUAACGCACGACUUAUUCUUCGACCUAACGCACGGUUUUUCCAGACAUCUGAGGAUGCAAUUGAGAUUAGUCUAACGCACGACUUAUUCUUCGACCUAACGCACGGUUUUUCCAGACAUCUACGGAUGCAAAUCGGAUUAGUCUAACGCACGACUCAUUCCUCGACCUAGCGCACGGUUUUUCCAGACAUCUGAGGAUGCAAUUGAGAUUAGUCUAACGCACGACUUAUUCUUCGACCUAACGCACGGUUUUUCCAGACAUCUACGGAUGCAAAUUGGAUCUGAUCUAACGUACGACAUAUCCUUCAAGCCUAACGCACGGUUUUCCAAACAUCUGCUGAUGCAAACUAGACCCAGUCUAACGUACGACUCAACCUAAGUCUAUUCCUCAGAAACAGUCUAACGUACGACACAUUCUGACUCUCAAGUAUAUCAAGUCGGAUGACAUCUUCAAGUCCAUCUCCAUCACACAUCUUCUCCAAACACCUGGAUGGUAUCUUCAAGCCCAUCUCCGACAAAGGUCCCUACUUCAGCUAGGGCAAAUUUCUUGGUAUUCUAGUGUUCAAUCAUCUUCCACCUUCAGAUACCGACUGACAUACAAACCACUCUACAUCUUCAGGUUUAAGAAGAUUGAACAGGGGCAGCUGUCAUACCCCAAAAUUUGCCCUCGAGAUUUUUUGUUUUUUAGCGUAGGUUUUGCAUAUCAUUCGCAUAUUGACGUUAGGACAUUAACUUAAUUUUGCAUUAAUUAAAAAAAAAUAAAAAAAUAUGCAUUACAUGUUCAUCUUUCCGCACUUUGUUCGUUUUUACGAUUUAACAAUAUUUUCGAUUUACUAAUCCUUUUGUGAUUUACAAUUCUAAUUUUAAUUCAAUUUAGAUUUAAGUUGAAUUUUAAUUAAAAUUAGUAAAUUAUUUUACUAUAUUAUUAUUUGCAUUUGUUCUAUUUCAUUUUGUUUUUAAGGUUCAAAUAAAGAUGAGGUCCAUUGGGCUCAAAUUAAUCUAAGCCCAUUUUCCUUUUAAGCCUAGUUUUUUCUUAUAAAUUACUAACAAAAACCCUGAUUUAAAGAGACUAAAAAAUUUUCCCCAUCCUCAUACAAACUACACGGUCACUCCACAGCCUGUAGUGUUUUUACCUCUCAAAAACCAGUAACUAUUCACCAAUUAUCAUCAUCAUCAUAAAAUAUUUUCAUAUAGCAUUAGCCUACACCGUCAACACCGAUCUUCACCUCUUUACAACACAAAAUCACAAUGAGCACAGCAGUUCGGGAGAACAAACAGAAGCAUCAUCGUCAUCAUCAACACAACAACGAUAAACAGAACCCAUUUUUUUAUUUCAAUAACAACAAUUGCUCUUUUCUGUUGUGUUUAUGGCAGGUAACAGAAAAUUUGGGACAGGUGCAAGGAAUAAAUCAAAAUGGAAAACACCAGUGUUACAGAUCCAAUAUCGAUCCGCCGCCACCACGCGUGACAUCUCCGAUCUGCUCCGCUUCGCACCACCGCUUCACGGCCGCCGCGGAUCCACUAUGAAAUCAACAACGGUCAUCGUCUUCUCGAUCACACAACCGCUCAGCCAUCCUCCGACAGAACGCCGCAUCCACCGAUCUCAGAUCCACUGCAACCGCCGGUCAAACACCACCGCACCAGAUACGGAACCAUGCCCAAUCGUGAUUCCACCGACGAGAAAAACAAAUCCAUAUAGAGCACUGCCGUACGCGCAACCAUCAUGGUUUUUUUCUUCCGCUCCCGGUAACUUUUCUUUCGUGGAUUUUUGUUGAUCUUAGCACGUAUACUCGUUGUUAUUUUGAGUCUUCAGUUUCUUAUUGAUUGAUUGCUUUGAGUUUGAGAAGAAACAAAUUAAAAAUGGUGCUUUGAGUUUGAGGUGAGUGUACAGAUUUUAUUUCUUUUCUCUCUCUGUUUACUAAUCGCUGUGGUGUUAACAUGGAGACCACACAUUACUAAGGUAGAUUAGAUUUCUAUUGUUUUUAUGUUUGUUUUGCAUAACUAAUACAAUAGCUAUUAUCGGUGCAUCAGGUUCCUAAUUAAAGUUAUAGAAAACUUAACGUGAAAUAAAAAGAAAAAAAAUAUAUUUUCUUUGCUUUUUUUAUUUUAUUUAUGUUUUUGUUAUAAAAAAUGCCAAAAAAAUAAUAUUUGUUUUAAUAUUUUUUUAUAGAACGUAACAUGGUUAUUCUAGAAUUCUUUAUUUAAUUGUUUUGUUUUUACUAAUAAUUGUGCAUAUGUUAUGAUUUUUCAUCCUCAUUUUAUAUAUCCGUGCUAAUAUUUUGUUUUGAUUGCGAGGUACCACUCGAUAUUGAGACUCUCGCAUUUCAUGGACAUGGACAUUUAUACUUUGCACUUUUAAUUAAUUCGGGGUUAGCCAAUCGUCAAAGCUUAAUAGUCGGGUAAUUGUCAAAUGACUUCCAACUACGCGCCCGGUCAAGACUCAAAGCUAAGUACCCUAUUUUAUUUUGUUUUCAUUUUGAUUUUAGGGUUUGCCCUUAUAUUUCUUGAACUGUGCAUACGUUCACUCUUUUGUUUCUGCCUUUGCCCUUUUCAGGUUUAUUUCCGAGGUUUCCUCCGACUGCCAACCCUAUCAGAUCAAAUGCAAAGCUAAGUUUCUUUUUGUUUUUUUGGGUUAACUGUGUUUGACUCUGAACCGAUAAUGCACUCACCCCCUUUUGUUUAUUUCUUUCUUUUCUAAUUUUCAGGGUUUGUCGACUGCCAAAGCUACGAGUAUUGGUAACCCUAAACCCUAACCCUGAUAUUUUUAUCUUUUAUUAUUACUUAUGCCAAACCCUAUUAAGGGAUCCGCUGGUUUCAUUUUCCCCUCCCCCAUAUUACUGUUUCUUGCCUUAUAUUAUCUGCGUGUCUUAUAUUAUCUGCGUGGUUAGUAAAAUAGGGAGUGACAACCAUUAAAUUGAAUUAGCCUCACUAAUUUACAAGAUAAUAUAAUUGAAUAUAGUCACGUGAUUGGCGCACACACGCACGCUUUUGGGUAACCCUCUCUGUUGCCUUGUUGCCUGUUGCCUUGUUGCCUUGUGUUUUUGCAGAAUAGCCAGUCCCUCGAAUAUGAGGAUACCUUAGCCAUGUUGCCUCGAUAAAAGGUCAUGAGACCCUAAAAAUGAUGCUGCCUUCGAUACACUAACAUGACCUCGACCCUCGAAAGUUGCCCACGAAUAAGGCUGAGGUAUCUUCUGGUUGCCUACGAAAGGCUAUUCUGAUCCUUCCCCUUAGACUACCUGCCUCUCUAUGGCAUGGGUCAGUCUUUGAGCGAAUGAUAAUUCGAUGACCCUUCUACCUCCAAACGAAAGGCUUCCUGCCCUCUUAUGGCAAGGACUGACCCUUUCAUUCUGAAAGGCUAAAAAGAGACCUAUCAUCUGAGUUUAAGAUAAUUGCCCUUAAUUGCCUUGCCAUGCUCUAUUUUCUAUAUUCUUUCUCAAAAUUCUUCAAAAAACUGGCUACGCUCAUUUUACGAGCUAAAGUCCAUUUUUUCCUCUUUCAUCUACAUUUUCUGAAAACGAGCAAGCAAAGCAAUUAAGAGCCCAUGGAAAACCAUGGAUGCAAAGGGUGCCUUACACCUUCCCUUUGCAUAAAUUACCCCCCGAACUUAGAUUUCUUUAAAAGGUUUUUUUCUGUUUCUUUUAGCCUUUCUGAAUUUGUUUGGAUAAAAUAAAAGUCGGUGGCGACUCUUGAUUAACCGCGACAUUCC